rnacentral:rRNA from 1 species
AGAGUUUGAUCAUGGCUCAGGAUGAACGCUGGCGGCGCGCCUAACACAUGCAAGUCGAACGAUUAAAGCACCUUCGGGUGUGUAUAAAGUGGCGAACGGCUGAGUAACACGUGGGCAACCUGCCCCUCUCAUUGGGAUUAGCCCACGGGAAACCGUGGAUAAUACCGAAUACUUCGGGACUUCCGCAUGGAAGGCUCGAGAAAGCUCCGGCGGAGAGGGAUGGGCCCGCGGCCUGUUAGCUUGUUGGUGGGGUAACGGCCUACCAAGGCAAUGAUGGUAGCUGGGUUGAGAGACCGACCAGCCAGAUUGGGACUGAGACACGGCCCAGACUCCUACGGGAGGCAGCAGUGGGGAAUCUUGCACAAUGGGCGAAAGCCUGAUGCAGCGACGCCGCGUGCGGGAUGAAGGCCUUCGGGUUGUAAACCGCUUUCAGCAGGGACGAGGCGAAAGUGACGGUACCUGCAGAAGAAGCCCCGGCUAACUACGUG